rnacentral:rRNA from 1 species
CAUGAAAUCGUUUCUAAGUGUUUAGUGAAUCGGCUCCGGCCAUUGCUGGAUGGUAUUAUUUGUGAGUGCCAAAGUGCAUUUGUUCCAGGGAGAUUAAUAUCUGACAAUGUGCUCAUCGCAUUUGAGUGCAUUCAACACAUUCAGCAGGAAAGUAAUCCAGAGAGGGCAAGUUGUGCUUACAAGUUGCACCUCUCAAAGGCGUAUGAUCGUGUUGAUUGGGUUUUUUUGGAACAGGCUAUGGGAAGGAUGGGGUUUGAGAAUAAAUGGGUUUCUUGGAUCAUGCAAUGCGUCCGGACAGUCGACUAUUCGGUGAAAUUUAACGGAAGGUUGCUGGAGCGUUUUUCGCCAUCCCGAGGCCUACGCCAAGGUGACCCAUUAUCACCGUUUUUCUUCUUAUUUGUGGCUGAUUCUUCGUCGGCUUUGAUACUAGAUGCAGUUGGAACGCGUGGGCUUUCUCCGGUUGCUAUUUGUCGUACGGCACCGAGGAUUUCUCACCUUCUGUUCGCGAAUGAUACACUGCUUUUUUUCAAGGCAUCUGAGGCCCAAGCAAACAUUGUUGCUGAUGUGUUGCAUCGCUAUGCAGGAGGGACGGGGCAAUUAAUAAAUCCAGAGAAGUGCGGCAUUUUAUUUGGGGAAUCUUGUCCAGUAGAUGUUCAAGAGCUAGUUAAAAAUAUCCUUCAUGUUCGACAACAGGAGUUUGAAGAUCGAUAUUUGGGGCUGCCUGUUCCUGAAGGUAGAAUGUGUAAGGGUCGAUUCCAAACACUUCAAACUAGAUUGGCCAAGAUACUUGUGGACUGGGGCGAAAGAUUUAUGUCCUCGCCCGCAAAGGAAGUGUUGAUUAAAGCAGUUGCUAAUGCUAUCCCGACAUAUGUUAUGAGCGUAUUUAAACCAUUGUCGGUGUGUGAUGAACUGACCAAGAUGGUCCGGAGGUACUGGUGGGGUGUGGAGAAAGGAAAACAUAAGACACACUGGAUUGCAUGGGAAAAAUUAAUUCUCCCAAAGAAUCAAGGUGGUCUCGGUUUUCGUGACAUGGGCCUCUUUAACCAGGCUUUGCUUUCGAGGCAAGCUUGGCGUUUGAUUGAGCGACCAGAUAGUUUGUGUACAAGAUUGAUGAAGGAAAAGUACUAUAGACGAGGAAACCUGAUUGAUACUGUGUUCACCGGAAACUCAUCAGCAGUUUGAAAGGGCAUUGAGCAUGGGCUGGAGUUGUUAAAGAAAGGUGUCAUAUGGAGGAUUGGAAAUGGGCGCAGCGUGAGAAUUUGGCGCGGUCCGUGGAUCCCAAGGGGGAUAUCUCGUAGACCUCUUACCUCACAGGGUCGAUGCCGGCUAACAAAAGUUGCCCGGCUUAUCAAUCAGGAUGGAGUUUGA